AUGUGUUUGGGAGAGUUGGAAGAGAUACUAGAAGCUACACAGCCUGCAGAGUUUCAGAAAUGCACGGUUCCUCUUUUCCGCCAGAUUGCAGGUUGUCUGAAUAAUUCUCACUUUCAGGACUAUUUGGGAUAUCAAGCAGAAAAUUGUUCUUGGCAUGGCUGUCAAUCGUGGCUGCUACAUUGGUCAAAGCCAGAGCCUUAA
rnacentral:rRNA from 1 species